rnacentral:tRNA from 1 species
GACGAAGUGGCCGAGUGGUUAAGGCGAUGGAUUGCUAAUCCAUUGGGCUAUGCCCGCGUGGGUUCGAAUCCCAUCCUCGUCG